AUGUGCCUGGCCCCUUACUGCCCCCAGGAAAAGCCAAGGACUGGCUGGAGUGGGUGGAAAAAUACCCCAGGUCUCAUGCCCUUGUGAAGGAUUUCUCUGAGGGAUACUCUGUGUGCUCUCCACAGGUCACGAGCAGGCCUGAGACCCCCUGCUCACGGAGCUAACCUGCUUACGACUGUGCCACGCCCUGGCUGCCUUCAGCUUCUUGUCCUGCUUCCAUGGCUUCCAGUACUGUGAUACUAAGAAGUUUAAAUGUGGCCUUGGGGACCUAGCUUGGAUUCUUUAUCAGCCGUUCACCCCCUCUAAGGUACUGCCUUUUAUCAUCUCAGCCAGGUCACUCUUGGCAACAAAGAAGAGGACAGUAGGGAUCAGACAGAGGAUCAGACCACUUCCAAAAUAAAAAGAGGUGAAUUAAAAGGAAACAGGAGCCCUAGCACCUUAAGCCUCCUGGAAUAAGAACACUGGGCUGGUGGGAUGUGCAGACCCUUGGCGCCCGACCAACUGGAAAAAGGAAGCAACUCCCUGGGGAAAGAGAGGCCACAGGGAUCUGUGACAGAAGCCCCUCCUGGAAACAGGAGGGCAGAGGAACCAGUUCUCCAGUCAGACACUGCCACCUUGGAGGGUCGAUGAAAGAGUUCAGUGGGAUCAAGGAAAUGCAGCACCAACCUGCACGCCAGCGAAGUGGCUGCUGAGGACACUGUGUUCAGAGGGAUUCCCCUGCUGCAUCUCAGCUCAACAAGAAAGAACACUGUGAUCAUUCGGCAUUGUCUGCUGUAGCAGAGGCCUCGGAAGUGAACCCCACGGACCAAGUAUUUGCCAUUUUUGAUUUUGAAUAAUGGGGUUGAGGGUGGAUUUCUGCCCAAAAUUUUGAAGAAUAUUAAAGGUCUGUUGUGUUACCAUUUUCACUUAUUGUUUUCCAUAGCAAACAGUAACAUAAGUCAUAAAUAUGAAUGUUCAAACUUAGAGCACUUAUUUCCAAGUUUCUA